rnacentral:lncRNA from 1 species
AUUUAGAUAUAUAAAUUUGGAAAAACUUCAAAAUAAAUCCCCCGUGGUUUCGUAGUUUCUCACUUUGUCCUCGUGUGGUUUAAAACGUAUCAAAUUGCCCCCUCUGUGGUUUCGUUUUUAUCUUUUCGGUAGCUUUUUCAUUAAUAUUUUAUUAAAUUAUAUACAAAAAACUUCAGAUACACAUCUAGAUUUAUCAAAUAUUCACUUUAGUACUCUUUAAUUUUAACUUUAUCACUGAUUUAAGAAAAAAAAAUAAUAAAAUUAAUAAGAAAAAAAAAAAACCACAGGAGAACAAAUUAAUACAUUGUAAACCACAAAGGGACAAAAUGAGAAACUACGAAACUACCGGGAGAUUUUUGAAGUUUUCCCUAUAAAUUUUGGAUUCA